GUCGAUGAGGAUCUAAUCCGAUUCUAUGAGGUGCAGUGGAGCCGAGACCUUGUUUUUUCAGGGAGAACCCCUUGGCAGAAGCUGCAAUUUCUUUGAAUUCAAUGGAUUUUACUGAGAC
rfam:Brassica napus, WGS project CCCW01000000 data, contig: 24491